GAUGAAGAACGCAGCGAAAUGCGAUAAGUAAUGCGAAUUGCAGAAUUUCCGUGAGUCAUCGAAUCUUUGAACGCACAUUGCGCCCUUUGGUAUUCCAAAGGGCAUGCCUGUUCGAGCGUCAUUUGUACCCUCAAGCUUUGCUUGGUGUUGGGCGUCUUGUCUCUAGCUUUGCUGGAGACUCGCCUUAAAGUAAUUGGCAGCCGGCCUACUGGUUUCGGAGCGCAGCACAAGUCGCACUCUCUAUCAGCAAAGGUCUAGCAUCCAUUAAGCCUUUUUUUCAACUUUUGACCUCGGAUCAGGUAGGGAUACCCGCUGAACUUAAGCAUAUCAAUAAGCGGAGGA
rnacentral:misc_RNA from 1 species